rnacentral:lncRNA from 1 species
CAGAUGCUGAGGCCAGUGCUGACGUGGACAUGAUGAGUCAACCUCAAGAUGAAGAAAUGGGCGCUGAUGAGCCAAACCCAGAGGAAAAGGAGAAACAAGAUGAGAAGCAAGGCAAAGUCGAGGAUACGAGCGCCGGCAAUAACAAAGAUGAAGACUCAGACGUUGCUAACAGUGAAGAGAAAGCCAAGGAAGAGGGGCCUGAAGCAAAAACAGACCAGGAAGAAGAGGGAGAGGCUGAAGCUGAGGUCAACACACAGAUGUCUUUUGUGGAGAUGGACGAUGUGUCCAUCAAUGAAACUGACACCAGCAACAACGGGGAUGCGAAAGAGGAAGUUAAGAGUCUACCCGAUUCGAAUGCUACUGAGAACACGCAGUCCAAAGACACUAACCCUGAGAAGAAGGAUUGACCAGCUGAGGGGCAGACAAUCAACCUCAUCUGACAGCCAGCAAACUGUGCGGACCACCCCCCAACGCAGCGCCCCAAGUAGAGGGCCUCUCUCCACCCGACUGGAGCAAAACCAGUUACCCGUCACCAUGCGCUCACAUUCCAAUUCUUUUUUUUUACCCUUUCUUUAUAGUUUAAACAUUACGACUCAACCUGAACUAUGUAUGUAUGUACCUAUGUAUUAAUGUACAUACUGAACCUAUAGGACUUGAACAUAUCAGCGAGACGAUGAGCCAUACCUCACUGUGUGUUAGCCAUCUGCCAUUUUACCACCGUACUGUGUGUCUGAGAGAGAGAAACCAAGUCCUUUUUAUUUUCUAUGUGGCCACUGUCAUCGGGCAACAGCCCCUCCACUGCAGGCUGGGUAAUACUUAACAUCCAUUUUUGUUCUUGUCUUUACAACAUUAUGGCAAAUAACAUCAUAACCAACUCUGAAAUGGUCUCUACGUUUACAUGGAUAUGUAGAAUAGUAGAAUAUCGAGACCAUUUUUCUCUCCAUAUGUGGUUGCAUCACUUAAAUUGCAAUCUACGCUGAGAUUUUUUUUUCUAAUCUACCAAAACUGAUGACACUAUGAUGCGUUUAAGGCAGUCUGGAAUUUAUUAAAUCAUUUGGUAAAUGUCAUUUGAGAGUAUUAGAAUUUAGAAUUAUAAGCUUCCACUUCGACUCUUUGGUUUAUGAUAGACCAGAAGAGUCAAAAAAAAGACAAACUAGCUUGUCACCUGUACCUUGAAUAUCGCUGAUUUAAAAAUGUGUUGGGCUAAGGCAUAAAUGUAUUUUUCUUGACUUGCACGUAAAUGUAGUGAACGGUAUUUUACAGUGAAAUGACUCAGACACCUGCCAUACUCGUCACACACUGCUGCAACCGGCUCAGAUUCAAUAAUAACUAUUUUAACUAUUUUAUCCCAUACUCAGGCCUAAAUAACUACACCAAAUCAUCACACCGCCGAACCAGGAUGUGUGCGCCAUUAACAAUCCAUUAACCUCUUCCUUCGUCCUUACUGGGGCCAGUGCAUGCCAAAAUAUUACUUUUCACUUCAGCAAUUCCAUUCAUUACUUUGCUUUCACUUCUAUGUCCUAUACCAGAUUGUCUCAAUAAAAGGAAUCUGCCUUAUUUCUUAUUGACGGAGGUGGUCCACGUACUAAAUCUUAGAUACAUGCAGAUGAUUUGUAAUUUUACUCAUAAUGGCUAAUACCUACUGUUAACGAUUGCUUUUCCCUGAAUUUUAAACCUUUUUCUUUUUAGACGUUGGUACGAUUCCUAUAUCAUUUUGAAUGGUGCCAUGAUAAAGAUCAGAUAAAUGACAGUUCUAUGAAAUGAUGCCUUCAUACUUUGAUGUUUGCUUUGCUAAAACUAUAAGAGAAACACCUAAUAAAGAUUUAAGAUGAAAACCA